UGGGCACUCUGCRGAGACUGCCGGUGAUAAACCGGAGGAAGGUGGGGAUGACGUCAAGUCAGCAUGGCCUUUAUGUCUGGGGCUACACACGUGCUACAAUGGCCGRUACAAACCGUCGCGAUMYCGCAAGRKGGAGCUAAUCSGAGAAAGYCGGUCUCAGUUCGGAUUGYAGGCUGCAACUCGCCUGCAUGAAGUUGGAAUCGCUAGUAAUCGCGGAUCAGCACGCCGCGGUGAAUACGU
rnacentral:rRNA from 1 species